GGAUUAGAUACCCUGGUAGUCCACGCCCUAAACGAUGUGCACUAGAUAUAGGAAGUUUGACACUUUCUGUGUCGUCGGAAAACCAUUAAGUGCACCGCCUGGGAAGUACGGUCGCAAGACUAAAACUCAAAGGAAUUGACGGGGGCUCACACAAGCGGUGGAGCAUGUGGCUUAAUUCGAAGCAACGCGAAGAACCUUAUCCAGGGUUUGACAUGCACGGAUUAGUUUUUGGAAACAAGAAUGACACUCUUUGAGUGGAACGUGCACAGGUGCUGCAUGGCUGUCGUCAGCUCGUGCUG
rnacentral:rRNA from 1 species